rnacentral:lncRNA from 1 species
UUGAAAAAAUAAAAAUAUAGGGAUAGCAUGCAAUGUUGUAAAUAACAUUUUUAGCUCCGUCCAUUUCCUAUCCUUACAUAUUUUUUUAAAAAAAAAAACAAGAGAAAAAACAAAUGAGCUCCUUCACCACCAAAACUCCGCCACCUUAUCUACGCCGGCCAAAUCACCAUCGCCGCGUUAACCCAUUAUUCCCUGUCAUUUGUUGCCUCGGAGAAUCCCAACAAGACAGCUUUACUCGCCGGAGAACCCUGACAUCGCUUAUAACACUCACGGUCAUCGUCCCCACUUCAUCAGCAUUAGCACAGGAGAAAUGGGGGACGAGGUCAUUCAUAAAGGAGAAAUAUUUCCAGCCAGGUUUAUCGCCGGAGGACGCGGCGGCUCGUAUAAAACAGACGGCUGAAGGAUUAAGAGACAUGAGGGAGAUGUUGGACCAUAUGUCGUGGGGGUACGUCAUCUUCUACAUAAGAUUAAAACAGGCUUAUCUGUCUCAGGAUCUGACCAACGCCAUGAACAUCUUGCCGGAGAGUCGCCGGAAUGAUUACGUUCAAGCGGCAAACCAGCUAGUCGAAAACAUGAGUGAGGUAAAAGUUAAUUAAUUAAUGAUUAAUGCGUUUUAUAUAAUGUUCAACGUUGACAAAAUACUAUUUCUUCUGAAAAUUUAAUAAUAUUGACUAGCUAUAUAAUUGUAAAUCAAACGAUAUACUAAUAGUUUCACAUUUAACGUUGAUUUACAAAAAUUGAUUCAAUACUAAACAAGCAAGUGGAAAUCAAACUUAAAAGCAUAUGAUAUUUCAUAUUUUUGUUAUCAAUAAUAGUUUUGUAAAAUGUUUUAGUUGGAUUUUUACGUACGGACGCCAAAGGUGUACGAGUCGUAUCUCUACUACGAGAAGACAUUGAAAUCAAUAGACGACGUGGUGGAGCUUCUUGCUUAAUUGUAUUUGUAUUGUAUAUAUCUCUCUUCACAUGAAAUCUCUGCACUCAUUACAUUACGUUAUACUACAGUACAUUAUAUAUAAACGUGAAGAAACUGAAGAAGCGGUUUAGGACUUUGAAUAGUGUAUUGUAGUGAAGAGUAUAAUAAAAUUGUAAAGCAAAAGUGUAGUAUUCAUAGAAAUUAGCUUUUUGCUGAGGACAUACAAUGAGGAAGGAUGAAUUUGUAAUUUUGUACACCCAACAUCAUCCAAUAGGAAAUUCUCUACUUGGCGUUAUAUAUAGGGCUUAUUUGCUAAAUAACAAAAAAAAAUGAAAAAUUAAAUUUUGGAAGAAAAAUUAGUAAGAGAUAGAAAGAAAAAGUAGAAAUGAUGAAGGAGAGGAUUUUUAGUUAGUAAGUGUAUUUAUGUUUUUGUUGUUGUAUAUAGGAUGCAAAUCCCUUAUGUAUAUGCAUAUCCGUAGCCCUUUAAUAUAAGCUAUAGACUACGUUUAAGUGUUAAAUGUUUGUUUGCAAACAAGAGAAAUGAAAAACACUCAAAUAGUAUAACAAAGUAAACAAGAUAAAGGAAACGAAAAGAUGUGUUUACAUUUUUUAUUUUAUUUCAAUAGACAACCAUUUUUUACUUUUUAUUAUUACAAGUAACAAAAAAUUGCAUCAACGUAUAAGUUCCCUGAAACUGUGUACGUAACCCUCUCAGUCUUCUUUUGUCUUCUGAAUAAUCUCCAAAGCAUUACCUUUCUAAGAUGGGUUUUCUUGAUUUAAGAAACAUGGUUUCUUCUCUUGGAAUUCAAAUUCUGCAACAACAUAUCAUAUACAAUGUAAGUAGAAUAUCUUGAUAUAUGGAUCAAUGCAUAACAUUUGUUACCACUAAAUACCAGUCUACUGUAGUCUUGAUCUUUGGAACCAUCCCCCCUUGCGUAUUUGGGUUUGUUUGAACUUCCGGAUACUUGAGAGAUGUAUGGAAAAGAUGUGGGUAGCAAGACAAGUCCAUGAUUCAUAUCGAAAGCGUUAGCUCUUAACCGUAAGAUUACUUGCGUAAGAGCUUUCAUAGCUGCAUCAGGAUUUCCUGUAAUCUGACCACCAACAAAUGGACUAUUAAUGGCUUAGUUUUACAUUUAAUAUGAAUUGUGUGUGUGUGUUUAGUUACCUGAACCAUCUCCUCAUCUUGACGAGCAAUCUUUGGUACAUUUUCCUUUUGAAGAAUACGGAUAUUAGCUCGUGUCACACUCCUCAUCUCGGAUAUAACAGCACCACCUUUCCCAAUGAGGCAUCCGAUAUUGGAACUCGACACAAGUAGACGAGUGGAGAUUGUUGAAUCAUUUGUAUCUUUACCAACUUUCUCACUGCAACGCUCUUGUAAAAGUAUGGCUGCAUUCACCGUUGGAGACUGAUCUUCGUAGAACUAUACACACACAACAAAAAGUCAGUAAUGAGAUAUUUGUAUGAGAUAUAUGCAAAGAGAUUUUGGUUACCUCUUUUGAUGAUAUGAAAAUGAUGCUAUCAUCUUCUUCACGUUCUGAGGUAGUGACUCUAAUGGUUGCACCAGUUUCUUGCCUGAUCUGAUUGAUGAAACCACCACCUUUUCCUAUCACACCUCCGACGUUUUCAGCUGGACAGAUGAAACAAACACAAAACUCCGUUGCAUCCGCUAAGUCUCUACGUGCAGCGUGAUUUCUGUGAGAGCUUAUUAAUGGCUGAUGCAUUAAUAUGCUUGGAGAAGAUAGAAGAGAGUGCUGAAACCGUGACGGAUUAUCAUGAAGCAGUGAAGCAACUUGAUAAAGAGCCUCUCUUACAGUCAAAGGCUCUCCAAUUAUCUGAAAAAAUAACCAACAAAUACUUGAGCUGAUAUUAUAAUUAAAAUAAAAUAAAAAAUACUUCUGAGAGUGUAUCUAUCACCUGAAGAAGCUCAUCAUGGCUCAAAGUCAAAGCACAAGCAGGUAGAUUAUCUUUAAUAACACGAAUCUGAGCAUUGGUUUCGUUACGAAGAUUCUGAAUCACUUGCCCUCCUUUCCCGAUAACACAACCUAUCUGGUCCGAAGGCACAAGCAUCCUCACAGUAACCGUUUGUUUAUCGCCAAGAUCAUCAUCAUCAUCUUCUUCAUUAACCUCCGCUACAAUCAUGUCAUGAACCUUGAAAAGAGCAUCCAAAGCAGGACAAACGAUCUCCCCAUCGUCCCCAAAAUGAUUCAACUCAUCACUAGUGGAAUAAAUGGUAACAACGCGCUCCUCGCAACCUGGCAAAGCCUCGUUGAUCCUCAUGUUUGACUUUGUCUCGGACCUUAUCUGCUUCGCGAUCUCACCGCCCUUGCCGAUAAUGCUCCCUGUCUUCUUAACAGGGCACAAGUAACGGUACACGGUGUCUUCAGAACCAAUGACAUUGCGAUCUGUCUCAUCGUGAAGGUUUCUUCUCUUGCUUGCUCCGUUUCCGUUAAACUCAGAUUGGAAACUAGAUCUCUUACCAUGCAUGUUCCUUACAGUACUACUAGCCAUUUCAACAAGUGACAGGAAACUGAAAAAAAAAAAGAGAAUCGAUGCUAUCAAUGUUCAUAUGAUAAUACAAGAAGAGAGACGUAUAAUUGAUCAGAUCUUGGCCACUCAAGUAUAUUUAGAUUAAGACAAAGCUUGACUUUUGGCGGUCAACUAUGCAAGAACUCACAAAACAUAGCAUUAGAUUGAAUCUAUACCAAGAAACUAGUUUUUUACGAGAAUUGAGCUCACGAGAACCAUUACGAACCCAACAGAUGAAGAUCCAUGACACAUCACCAGACCAAAACUAACCAGUUUACAUGAUGAAUUCGAUUCUACCGACAUUCAUCCGAAUGAGAAUAAAUUUGAACAUGCAGAUACUUACCGCAGAAGAAUUGGUCAGUGAUCGGCGAUCUAUCCGUCCAACUCGCCGGAGAAUGUAGCCGAUUCUCUCUUGUGAUUCUAUGGUGGUUCUUGGGGUUUGAAAGCUGAGAGGUACAAGAACUGGGGCUAACGUCUAUUAAUAUAAACAUCUGGAAGGCUAAGCGUAACAGGUUGUUUUUUUUUUUACUUUUAAUCUCUUUUAACCCUUCUUCGGGACGUGACGGCACGUAUAUAUUCAUAGUCUAACAAUAUAAAACAUAGUAUUAAUAUCUUACUGUUAACCGUACCAAGUACAAUUACAUUGCUUAAUAUCCAUGUUCGAGAACGCGCUAGUCGGACGACCGGUUGAACCUAGCGCCUAAAGAGGGUUGAACCUAGCGCCUAAAGACAAAAUCGGAAAUUAAACGGAAAUUAUGCGGGGCAUAAUUUUUAGAUUGUUUAAUAUAUUAUAAAACAUGUUAAUCUUUAAUUGUGUAUAACAUAAUAUAUUUUCAUGUUUAGGACCGUAUAAACACACAAAUAGAAUAUAUAAACUUAAUAUAGUGUAAUUUCAUCAUAAUUAUAAAUAUAAAUUAUAUUUAUUAAAUUUUAAAUCAAAUAAAUAGAUAAAAAUAUUAUUAAAAAAAUAGAUUAGGUGCCGACGAGGCAGGGAGCUUGGAGAUUCGCCGCGGCCAGACGUCACGGAGGUCAGCAGUCUGCGGUUCAGUCGAGCUGGAGGAGACAAGCCAAGAUUUUUGAUUUAAUUCCGGUUUAGUCCGGUUUAAUCCUGGUUUGUGGGAUUAAACCGGUUCGAGUUUUGCCUUCCUAUAAAUAUAUUUAGACCUAGAAACUUUAUUUUUAUCUCAUUUUCUCUUAAGACUUUGUCUAAACUUGUAAAAGCUUGAAUCUUUUGAUAAUCUAAGGAAGUACUUCACCUUAUAUUUGUGUUUCUCUUGCUCAUUAACAUGAUUAGCUUUGAUCCUUACAUGAGUUUAAGGUUUCUCGUGGAGAUUAGUGAGUAGUGACCUUGUGAUUCAUGGGUUGGAUAGAUUAAGGUGAUUAAGUGGAUAUUUAGGAUGUUUAUUGCUUGAUUAACAUUGUUCUAUGCUUGCUAAGUGUUCUUAAUGCUAGAUUAGACUUGAUCACUCUCAUCUAGACCUUAAGAUAUUUUACGCCCGGAAGGUGUUUGUUAAAAUGCUUGAAUGAACUUAGCAUUGUCUUUUACAUAUUUGGCCAAUGGCAGUUGAUGUCCGAGAUGUUUAAGUGGUUAGUAGACUUGUGAUUUAUGCAUGCUUGAAUGUGUUAGCCAACGGGAGUUGAUGUUUGAUGCAUGACUAGCAUAGGGAUUAUUAUCACGGGAGUGGAUUAAUCUAUUUUGAAUGAGAUCUAGACCUAUAAACUUGUUGAUUGUUUUGUUUGAACAUCCUAGAUUGAACCUUGAUCACCUUAUAUCAAUUAUCUUUGCCCAUGGAUNNNNNNNNNNNNNNNNNNNNNNNNNNNNNNNNNNNNNNNNNNNNNNNNNNNNNNNNNNNNNNNNNNNNNNNNNNNNNNNNNNNNNNNNNNNNNNNNNNNNUGUAGUACUGGAUUCACAUAUUUGCAUAGAUAUUUGUGAUAGAUGAAUAAUUAUAUUUUUAUUAUCAGUAAAUAAUAUAUAUUUAUUAUAUAAUAUAAGAAAAAUAAAAUUAUUUACUUUUUAAACAAAGUUGUCUCAUGUUGGAGAUUCGGUUAUAGACAUAUAAUAUUCGAAGGAGACAUUUUUACAGUUAUCAAUCUUCUUAACAUUCAAGAAACAAAUCUGAAUAUCAAAAUAAUAUCUCAUACGAUCUCUUUGUGGAAUAACUGCUUUGAAGAAAUUGAAUUUAAGCAUCAAAAAGGAUUGGAAAUGAUGUGCAGAUGUGUUAUCUAAGUCAGCUUUACAAAGUACUACUAUUCAUAGUUCAUAUAUCAUUUAAGUCCAUCCUUUCUUAAACAUCUUGAAAUAACUGAUGCUAAUUAAUAAUACACUUUUGGCUGGCAAAAAAAAUUAAAUUUGUCUAAUUAUCGUUUAAAUAUUUUAUUAAUAUUGUCUAAGAAGGAUUGGAAAUGAUGUGCAGAUGUGUUAUCUAAGUCAGCUUUACAAAGUACUACUAUUCAUAGUUCAUAUAUCAUUUAAGUCCAUCCUUUCUUAAACAUCUUGAAAUAACUGAUGCUAAUUAAUAAUACACUUUUGGCUGGCAAAAAAAAUCAAAUUUGUCUAAUUAUCGCUUAAAUAUUUUAUUAAUAUUGUCUAAGAAGCUUUCAAUUGAUAUCAUAGUUUAAUUUUUAUUAGUUUUUUUUGUUAAUUUUAGGAUUUUUUUGUAUUUAAGAUUUUUUUCCAUAUUAAACUUUUAUUUCUUUCACAUAAUAUAUAUAUAUAUAUGUCAUAAAAAUUACCAUCAAAUCAGUUUUACUUUUUUUUUUAAUGAAAAUACACUUUUAAAUAAUUUAAUUUAAAAUAAAAUUAUAUAUUAAUUUGUUGUAUUCUAACAAUUUGAUUGAUUUAAUUAAUUUGCUUUGGUGGAUAACUUAAAAAGUUUUCAUAUGAAUCGGAGAAAGCAAGCUUAUGUUGUUAUAUUAUAUUUAUUUGUGUAUAUAGAAUCUUGUGUAUAUAGAAUCGGGGAAAGCAAGCUUAUGUAAACUUACUUUUACAAAAGUCUUAACUUUGUCACGAAAACAAAAAUCUAUGCUUUUUCAUAUUUGUCAAUGUUCUCACACUUUCAAAGAAUAUAUUAGCUUAGUCACUUUCUUAUUUUUUUUACAAAACAAAAUAUCGAAAUCUUGAAAGUUGAAUCCAUAUUAUUGUAAAUGUACAUAAGAGUUUGUGAUUACAUAUUUAGUGAUUCUUGUAUAUGUGUUCAAGAAAGUUUCAAUGGCUUAGCGGUAUAUGCUCUAUAUUUAUGUCAUACUAACCCGGGUUCGAUCCUGUCCUUUGCAUUUUUUUUUUAUUUUUUACGAAAAAAUAAAUGAGAUGACGUGGCAACUUCGGGCUCUCUGAUUGGAUGAUUAUAUAUGCUGAUGUGGACACUCUAAGAGGGGUUUAUAUCUCCCUUUUAGUAUAGUAUAGAUACAUAUAUAUGCAAAAUCCACAAAGUUCUUAAAAUGUAUUUGAAAUAUCCAACUUCUUAAGUGUUGAAAUAUUUAACGGUGCUGUUUCAUUACUAAAACGCAUGAGGCAACCUAGCUGAGCUUUUAGUCUUUACGUGCUCAUGUUCACUCAUUUUGAAAAAAUAAAAAUAUAGGGAUAGCAUGCAAUGUUGUAAAUAACAUUUUUAGCUCCGUCCAUUUCCUAUCCUUACAUAUUUUUUUAAAAAAAAAAACAAGAGAAAAAACAAAUGAGCUCCUUCACCACCAAAACUCCGCCACCUUAUCUACGCCGGCCAAAUCACCAUCGCCGCGUUAACCCAUUAUUCCCUGUCAUUUGUUGCCUCGGAGAAUCCCAACAAGACAGCUUUACUCGCCGGAGAACCCUGACAUCGCUUAUAACACUCACGGUCAUCGUCCCCACUUCAUC